UGCAAGGUCUUGUCUGCUUUACGAAAACUACACAAAAUCUAUUCAGAAUAUAAAAAUAUUGUAAUUAAUGCUGGACUCUCCAGCAGAUGAAAUGUUUAAUGAGCAUGCACAUCUACAAAUGUCAGCGGUGCACCUGAUAAGCCAACAGACGCUGACAGCAGCAGUCAAAGUGAGAACACUGAGCAUAGUGAUUCAAGUGAUGAGACUGAAACUACUGCACAACAGCACUCGGGUUUUGCCUUGGAUACAUGUCUUGGUCAGCAGUUGUUGUCUUAUGAUGAUGGAAUAUUUUGCAAUGCUCCAGGAGAGAGAACCGAGCAAGGAGGCAGAGUGACGUCCUCAGAGGAAUAGGAAGGUGAAGCGAUGUCCUCAGUUGAGCAGGAAGGCACAGCGACGUCCUCAGCGGAGUAGGGAGGCAGAGUAACAUCCUCAGUGGAGUAGGAAGGAGGAGCAACGUCCAAUAUGGAGCCGGGUGUAGUGAUGUAGACCAAGGUAAGUAGGGAGACAGAGUGACGCCCAUGGGGAGGCUGUGAUCUGUAAUGUCGUUUCUUAAGGCGGGGGUUCUGCUCAUCCACACAUGAAACUUGGACAACUAUUCUCUCACCUUGCAAGUCUAUGGACCAGUAGGUUAUUUUGUAAACUGUCUCUUGAAACAGCUAAUAUGCAACAGAUAGUGUAGGCCAGAGUGUGCCACCAUUAUAAAAUUAACAUUCAUAACAUCAAUGAAAUCCUCAAAACAUUUUAUGAAUCUUGCUUUAAUAAUGUUCUUCUUUUGUUAUUAUGAAACAUUGUGCCAGUGUUUUAUAAAAGAACAUUCUGUUACCUCAAUAAUGUCCUCA
ensembl:lncRNA